rnacentral:rRNA from 1 species
GACGAACGCUGGCGGCGUGCCUAAUACAUGCAAGUCGAACGAGAGCAACCGGUGCUUGCACUGGUCAAUCUAGUGGCGAACGGGUGAGUAACACGUGGGUAACCUGCCCAUCAGAGGGGGAUAACAUCCGGAAACGGAUGCUAAAACCGCAUAGGUCUUCGAACCGCAUGGUUUGAAGAGGAAAAGAGGCGCAAGCUUCUGCUGAUGGAUGGACCCGCGGUGCAUUAGCUAGUUGGUGAGGUAACGGCUCACCAAGGCCGUGAUGCAUAGCCGACCUGAGAGGGUGAUCGGCGACAUUGGGACUGAGACACGGCCCAAACUCCUACGGGAGGCAGCAGUAGGGAAUCUUCCGCAAUGGGCGCAAGUCUGACGGAGCAACGCCGCGUGAGUGAAGAAGGUUUUCGGAUCGUAAAACUCUGUUGUUAGAGAAGAACAAGUGCUAGAGUAACUGUUAGCGCCUUGACGGUAUCUAACCAGAAAGCCACGGCUAACUACGUG